rnacentral:rRNA from 1 species
AGCAGCCGCGGUAAUUCCAGCNCCNAUAGCGUAUAUUAAAGUUGUUGCAGUUAAAAAGCUCGUAGUUGAAUUUCGGAAUCUGUCCGUUGGUCGGGCUUCAUUGUCCGUACUGGUGUGAUGGGUUCUUACCUUCUGAAUAACCAGCAUGCCAUUCAUUUGGUGCGUUGGGGAAGCAGGACUAUUACCUUGAAAAAAUUAGAGUGCUCAAAGCAGGCUAGUGCCUGAAUACAUUAGCAUGGGAUAAUAAAAUAGGACGGCAUGGUUCUAUUUUGUUGGUUUCUAGGAUCACCGUAAUGAUUAAUAGGGAUAGUUGGGGGCAUUAGUAUUCAAUUGUCAGAGGUGAAAUUCUUGGAUUUAUUGAAGACUAACUUCUGCGAAAGCAUUUGCCAAGGAUGUUUUCAUUAAUCAAGAACGAAAGUUAGGGGAUCGAAGACGAUCAGAUACCGUCGUAGUCUUAACCAUAAACUAUGCCGACUAGGGAUCGGACGAUGUUAAUUUUUUAAUGACUCG